rnacentral:rRNA from 1 species
CAGUAGCCACGGUAAUACGAAGGGGGCUAGCGUUGUUCGGAAUUACUGGGCGUAAAGCGCGCGUAGGCGGACAUUUAAGUCAGGGGUGAAAUCCCGGGGCUCAACCCCGGAACUGCCUCUGAUACUGGGUGUCUAGAGUUCGGAAGAGGUAAGUGGAAUUGCGAGUGUAGAGGUGAAAUUCGUAGAUAUUCGCAGGAACACCAGUGGCGAAGGCGACUUACUGGUCCGAUACUGACGCUGAGGUGCGAAAGCGUGGGGAGCAAACAGGAUUAGAUACCCGUGUAGUCCCUGUCUCUUAUAC